rnacentral:rRNA from 1 species
UACGAAGGGGGCUAGCGUUGCUCGGAAUCACUGGGCGUAAAGCGCACGUAGGCGGAUUGCUAAGUCAGGGGUGAAAUCCUGGAGCUCAACUCCAGAACUGCCUUUGAUACUGGUGAUCUUGAGUCCGGGAGAGGUAAGUGGAAUUCCGAGUGUAGAGGUGAAAUUCGUAGAUAUUCGGAAGAACACCAGUGGCGAAGGCGACUUACUGGACACAUAUUGACGCUGAGGUGCGAAAGCGUGGGGAGCAAACAGG